rnacentral:rRNA from 1 species
GAUGAACGCUGGCGGCGUGCUUAACACAUGCAAGUCGAACGGAAAGGCCCAAGCUUGCUUGGGUACUCGAGUGGCGAACGGGUGAGUAACACGUGGGUGAUCUGCCCUGCACUUCGGGAUAAGCCUGGGAAACUGGGUCUAAUACCGGAUAGGACCACUUCUUGGAUGUUGUGGUGGAAAGUUUUUUCGGUGUGGGAUGAGCUCGCGGCCUAUCAGCUUGUUGGUGGGGUAAUGGCCUACCAAGGCGUCGACGGGUAGCCGGCCUGAGAGGGUGUACGGCCACAUUGGGACUGAGAUACGGCCCAGACUCCGACGGGAGGCAGCAGUGGGGAAGAUUGCACAAUGGGCGCAAGCCUGAUGCAGCGACGCCGCGUGGGGGAUGACGGCCUUCGGGUUGUAAACUCCUUUCGCUAGGGACGAAGCGUUUUGUGACGGUACCUGGAGAAGAAGCACCGGCUAACUACGUG